CAGUAGCCGCGGGAAUACGUAGGUGGCAAGCGUUGUCCGGAAUUAUUGGGCAUAAAGGGCUCGCGGGCGGUUUCUUAAGUCUGAUGUGAAAGCCCCCGGCUCAACCGGGGAGGGUCAUUGGAAACUGGGAAACUUGAGUGCAGAAGAGGAGAGUGGAAUUCCACGUGUAGCGGUGAAAUGCGUAGAGAUGUGGAGGAACACCAGUGGCGAAGGCGACUCUCUGGUCUGUAACUGACGCUGAGGAGCGAAAGCGUGGGGAGCGAACAGGAUUAGAUACCCCUGUAGUCCCUGUCUCUUAUAC
rnacentral:rRNA from 1 species